rnacentral:rRNA from 1 species
GACGGGGCCGCACAAGCGGUGGAGCAUGUGGUUUAAUUCGAUGCAACGCGAAAACCUUACCUGGGCUUGACAUCUCUCGGAAUCCGGUAGAAACAUCGGAGUGCCCGCAAGGGAGCCGAGAGACAGGUGCUGCAUGGCUGUCGUCAGCUCGUGCCGUGAGGUGUCGGGUUAAGUCCCAUAACGAGCGCAACCCUUACCGUUAGUUACCAUCAGGUUAAGCUGGGGACUCUAGCGGGACUGCCACCGUAAGGUGAGAGGAAGGUGGGGAUGACGUCAAAUCAGCACGGCCCUUAUGUCCAGGGCUACACACGUGUUACAAUGGCCAGUACAAAGGGCAGCUACCGGGUGACCGGAUGCUAAUCUCUAAAGCUGGUCUCAGUUCGGAUCGAAGUCUGCAACCCGACUUCGUGAAGCUGGAUUCGCUAGUAAUCGCGCAUCAGCCAUGGCGCGGUGAAUACGUUCCCGGGCCUU